AGACUCUGGUUUCUCUUCAGUGCGCACAAGCCUUUCUCCUUUCACUAAAGACUUUGUGGAGAGGAACAUCACAAGUAUCAACCCAUUUUUUGAUGCCCUGCUCAGGCGGGGCU